rnacentral:piRNA from 1 species
UAUGGAGUUUUCAAUAUAAUA